UCCUCUCUUCCUUCUCCUGCAUCAUGCCAUACUUUUGUUGAGAAUUCUGUCGACUGAGAGGAAUUUUCUCCGGCAACUCUUCGGCAAGUGUAGAGAUCCAUACCGAGCUGUAGUUCGCGGGACUUGGUGAACCCAACUCUGUAGCUCGGAGCCAGGAGAAGAUCAAGUCUAGGAUCGGGGGGGGUGUCUGGGGGUCGUAUCGUCUGCUUUUAUCAAUAUCUCUAUAUUACCCUCUUGUGAGUGUAAGGCUUGUAUUCUGACUGUAUUUGUAUUUUGCAAACUGUUGGGUUGUAUUUGUAUUCUGUAGGGCUGCUAAAGUCUGUACUUGUAGUAUUUCAAUUUCCAGUAUCCUAUUUGUGCUUUUGUGUUCUGUUCAUAUCUGCUUGUUAGGGUUGACUCUGACCAGGUUAAAACUGAGGCCUUGCACCCAGUGGGACCCAGUCCUAUUGGAUGCGGCUGGUCUGUCCGCGGGCCCAGCUGUGGGGCUGGGACGUGACACCGUCCCUGUCUGUGUCUACUUGGCAACCUUUGCCACAAUCGAGGGGGUCAUGACCUCGUUGAUGCCAAUCCCUUCCAAUGAAGAACCAAUGGAGAGUGAAGCAGGGAUUGAGCCUUUGGAUGUGGUGUAUGCAUUUGUAGUUAAGGAGAAGGGUAGAAUGGAUGAUGAUGAUGAUGUGAGAGGUGGAAGAGAAGAGAAGAGAGGUCAUUGAUGGAUGUGAAGCGUGAAUCUCCUGUUAAAAUGGGUUGGUCCGGUCAAAAGCCGGUUCGAUCCUGACUGGUUCAAGCUAUAUGAAUGAACUGGACUGGCGGCCGAUUUUCUGUUGAACCGGCCUGUCCAGUCUUUUUUUAAAACCUUAGCGAGAGAUGCUAGGGAUGUUGUUAUUAGGGCCAUAAUCUGGAAUUUAUGGUUGGAAUGGCUUGAACGUAUUUUUCAUGAUAA